UACGUAGGGUGCGAGCGUUAAUCGGAAUUACUGGGCGUAAAGGGCUCGUAGGCGGCCAACUAAGUCGGAUGUGAAAUCCCCAGGCUUAACCUGGGAACUGCAUCCGAUACUGGUUGGCUUGAAUCCGGGAGAGGGAUGCAGAAUUCCAGGUGUAGCGGUGAAAUGCGUAGAUAUCUGGAGGAAUACCGGUGGCGAAGGCGGCAUCCUGGACCGGCAUUGACGCUGAGGGAGCGAAAGCCAGGGGAGCAAACGGG
rnacentral:rRNA from 1 species